CGAACGGGUGAGUAACACGUGGGGCAAACCCUGGCCCAAANAGGGGGAUAACACUUGGAAACAGGUGCUAAUACCGCAUAACCAUAGUUACCGCAUGGUAACUAUGUAAAAGGUGGCUAUGCUACCGCUUUUGGAUGGGCCCGCGGCGCAUUAGCUAGUUGGUGGGGUAAAGGCUUACCAAGGCAAUGAUGCGUAGCCGAACUGAGAGGUUGAUCGGCCACAUUGGGACUGAGACACGGCCCAAACUCCUACGGGAGGCAGCAG
rnacentral:rRNA from 1 species